rnacentral:rRNA from 1 species
AGUGAACGCUGGCGGUAGGCCUAACACAUGCAAGUCGAACGGCAGCACAGGAGAGCUUGCUCUCUGGGUGGCGAGUGGCGGACGGGUGAGGAAUACAUCGGAAUCUACCUUUUCGUGGGGGAGAACGUAGGGCAACUUACGCUAAUACCGCAUACGACCUACGCGUGAAAGUGGGGGUCCGCAAGGCCUCACGCGUUUAGAUGAGGCGAUGUCCGAUUAGCUAGUUGGCGGGGUAAUGGCCCACCAAGGCGACGACCGGUAGCUGGUCUGAGAGGAUGAUCAGCCACACUGGAACUGAGACACGGCCCAGACUCCUACGGUAGGCAGCAGUGGGGAAUAUUGGACAUUGGGCGCAAGCCUGAUCCAGCCAUACCGCGUGGGUGAAGAAGGCCUUCGGGUUGUAAAGCCCUUUUGUUGGGAAAGAAAUCCUGUCGAUUAAUACUCGGUGGGGAUGACGGUACCCAAAGAAUAAGCACCGGCUAACUUCGUGCCAGCCGCCGCCGUAACAC